GUGAUGAGAGUACGGUCGUGUGAUAGAUGACCGGGAGACCGAUCGCUGA
rnacentral:snoRNA from 1 species